AGAUUGACUUGAACAAUAGACACAUCAAUUUCACAAAAAUGGGAAUCAUCACCUUAGAUGUACUGGCAGAUGCUCUUUACGACCUUAUUCUUGUAGCUGAUCCAAACUUUACGACACCUAGAAGUGAAUGUGAUAUUUCCAAAUUGUACGACAUACACAGAAACAAAAUGAAUAAAUUAAUUCCAAGCCGUGGGAAAUGGGGAGGUAAAUGGGUAGAUAUAAAUCCAAAUGCUACAGCUCCUGGAGAUGAUAUAGAACGUAUUAGAUUAACUAGGAAUGAACUUCAACAUUCCAGCAAAUUUGAGCUACCUGACGCACGAUUUGCUCAACUCUGCAACCUACAUAAAAAGUUGUUGGGUAGGUUUGAAAAUAUAAAUAAUGUUUCUGAUUAUGUCCAGCGGUUUGAAAACAUACUAAAGAAGAAGAUAGCAUUUCUGGACUGGAAAAGAUGCAAA
rnacentral:lncRNA from 1 species